rnacentral:lncRNA from 1 species
AUUUAAUCAUGUUUUCCUUGUUAUCUCUUUGCAGUCUUUCUUCUAUUGUCUGGUAUGAAAUCUCAGCCAAGGCCUUUCAGCCUGUGGUGAUGAUCAAAAUAACUUUGCCUUCCAUUUGCAUUGUUUUAAAGAAAUGAUUAAACAAUCAAGCCCAGGGGAAUUAGUACACUGUGCAGUCUUUAGAACCACACAAGUGCACAAGAAGACCCUGGAACUCCUUCAACAUGCUGAAAUAGUGUCAGAGCAGGAAAUGGCAUACUGACUUCAGAGUGGCUCCAUUAAACAUACAGCCUGUGGAUGUCUUGCUAAAGGAAUACAUUAGAGGACAACAUUCUGCCUAAUUGCCCCUUCUUACAGGUCUCUU